CCUACGGGAGGCAGCAGUCGAGAAUCAUUCACAAUGGGGGAAACCCUGAUGGUGCGACGCCGCGUGGGGGAAUGAAGGUCUUCGGAUUGUAAACUCCUGUCAUGUGGGAGCAAAUUAACAAGAUAGUACCACAAGAGGAAGAGACGGCUAACUCUGUGCCAGCAGCCGCGGUAAUACAGAGGUCGCAAGCGUUGUACGGAAUCACUGGGCGUAAGGCGUGCGUAGGCUGUUUCGUAAGUCGGGUGUGAAAGGCGCGGGCUCAACCCGCGGGCGGCACAUGAUACUGCGAGACUAGAGUAAUGGAGGGGGGACCGGAAUUCUCGGUGUAGCAGUGAAAUGCGUAGAUAUCGAGAGGAACACUCGUGGCGAAGGCGGGUUCCUGGACAUUAACUGACGCUGAGGCACGAAGGCCAGGGGAGCGAAAGGGAUUAGAUACCCGGGUAGUC
rnacentral:rRNA from 1 species